rnacentral:lncRNA from 1 species
CUCCCCCGCCGUUCCCUCCCGGGCUGCCUGCAGUGAGGUCCGCUCCUGAGGCCUCAGCCUCGCCGGGGGUAGGGCCCUCUCCCGCCGUCGCCGCAGCUCCUUUCCGUCCCGGGGCCUGGGGGGCACCGUCCCACGGGUGGGAAAACAAAUCGGGUGAUCCGCCCACCUCGGCCUCCCAAAGUGCUGGAAUUACAGGCAUGAACCACGGUGCCCGGCUGACACAAGGAACUUUCUAUGAGGUCCUAGGAAUGAAGGAAAACAGGCAAUAAGGCAAGAAUCGCUGUCGAAGGAGUCUGCGCCACCUGCUCGCACAGCUCACUUGUGCCUUCUGAGCCUGCUGGAGCCCAGUGUACAUAUGCCGUCUCCGCGUGAUUAGAGAUUGCUGCUGCACGUGCCCAAUCCCGUGGCGGGGCUGGAACACAAACGGGGUGGUGUUCCAGCUGCAACCAUGCAGAUGAAGACUAUACCCUAGGAGAUGGAGGAACAACAGACAAGAAAGAAACCUGGGUUCCUGAAUAACCACGUGGAGCCAAGCAGCUUACUUAUCUCAAGCCACUGUUGCCCACCUCCAGAUUGAACUGUCUGCAAACAAAUCUUUACUUGAUGAGAAGUUUAAAUAUAAUUAAAUCUAGAAUAUUACA